rnacentral:rRNA from 1 species
GACGAACGCUGGCGGCGUGCUUAACACAUGCCAGUCGAACGGAAAGGCCCUGCUUGCAGGGUACUCGAGUGGCGAACGGGUGAGUAACACGUGGGUUAUCUGCCCUGCACUUCGGGAUAAGCCUGGGAAACUGGGUCUAAUACCGGAUAGGAGCCAUUUUUAGUGUGAUGGUUGGAAAGUUUUUUCGGUGUAGGAUGAGCUCGCGGCCUAUCAGCUUGUUGGUGGGGUAAUGGCCUACCAAGGCGGCGACGGGUAGCCGGCCUGAGAGGGUGGACAGCCACAUUGGGACUGAGAUACGGCCCAGACUCCUACGGGAGGCAGCAGUGGGGAAUAUUGCACAAUGGGCGCAAGCCUGAUGCAGCGACGCCGCGUGGGGGAUGACGGCCUUCGGGUUGUAAACUCCGUUCGCUAGGGACGAAGCUUUUUGUGACGGUACCUAGAGAAGAAGCACCGGCUAACUACGUG